UAGCGGCGGACGGGUGAGUAACGCGUGAGCAACCUGCCUUGCACAGGGGGAUAACAACCGGAAACGGUUGCUAAUACCGCCAUGAGACCCCACUAUCGCAUGAUAGCGAGAGGUUAAAGGGACUACCGGUGCAAGAUGGGCUCGCGUCCCAUUAGUUAGUUGGUAGGGUAACGGCCUACCAAGGCGACGAUGGGUAGCCGACCUGAGAGGGUGAUCGGCCACACUGGGACUGAGACACGGCCCAGACCCUACGG
rnacentral:rRNA from 1 species